rnacentral:hammerhead_ribozyme from 1 species
AUUCAUCUGACGAGUCCCAAAUAGGACGAAACGCGCGUCGUGGAU